ensembl:lncRNA
CAACACAGCGGAUGGCAUUUAGAUAUGUAGUGUUAAUCCAAGAGGCCCUAACAACACAGCGGAUGGCAUUUAGAUAUGUGGUGUUAAUCCAAGAGGCCCUAACAACACAGCGGAUGGCAUUUAGAUAUGUGGUGUUAAUCCAAGAGGGCCUAGCAACACAGCGGAUGGCAUUUAGAUAUGUGGUGUUAAUCCAAGAGGGCCUAACAACACAGCGGAUGGCAUUUAGAUAUGUAGUGUUAAUCCAAGAGGCCCUAACAACACAGCGGAUGGCAUUUAGAUAUGUGGUGUUAAUCCAAGAGGGCCUAGCAACACAGCGGAUGGCAUUUAGAUAUGUGGUGUUAAUCCAAGAGGGCCUAGCAACACAGCGAAUGGCAUUUAGAUAUGUGGUGUUAAUCCAAGAGGGCCUAGCAACACAGCAGAUGGCAUUUAGAUAUGUAGUGUUAAUCCAAGAGGCCCUAGCAACACAGCAGAUGGCAUUUAGAUAUGUGGUGUUAAUCCAAGAGGGCCUAGCAACACAGCGGAUGGCAUUUAGAUAUGUAGUGUUAAUCCAAGAGGCCCUAGCAACACAGCAGAUGGCAUUUAGAUAUGUGGUGUUAAUCCAAGAGGCCCUAGCAACACAGCAGAUGGCAUUUAGAUAUGUAGUGUUAAUCCAAGAGGCCCUAGCAACACAGCGGAUGGCAUUUAGAUAUGUGGUGUUAAUCCAAGAGGCCCUAGCAACACAGCAGAUGGCAUUUAGAUAUGUGGUGUUAAUCCAAGAGGGCCUAGCAACGCAGGGAGGGCCAUUAGACAGAGAGCAGGGAGAAAGAAAGGAAGGGUUAGCCAUAUCAGUACGUACUGUAUGGGUCAGUCCCAGGUUUGGUCUCAGUUUAUUUGUUCAUUCCAUUUACAGUACAUCUCCUGAUCCACUUGUUCCUUUGUUUCCCUUCCCAGUCAUACCAUAGCACAGGAACAGGCUUGGUGAUUGGGAGUGUCUUCUAUGCAUGCUCUCUCUCACAGCUAACAUGUACUUUGUACAUUGUUUAGUUAAUACAGUGUAUAUCGUGUUACCUGAACUAAAGUACGUUAUUCUCUUAUCACUGAUCUUCACAAAAAAUAUUACAUAAUGUCAAAGUGAAAAGAAAAUUCUACAAAUGAAAUAACUAAAAUGCACAGUUUACAAAACAUUAGGAACACCUUCCUAAUAUUGAGUUUCAUUCUACAAGGUGUUGAAAGCGUUCCAAAGGGAUGCUGGGCCAUGUUGACUCCAAUGCUCCCCACAGUUGUGUCAAGUUGGCUGGAUGUCCUUUGGGUGGUGGACCAUUCUUGAUACACACGGGAAACUGUUGGGCGUGAAAAACCCAGCAGCGUUGCAGUUCUUGACACAAACCGGUGUUCCUGGCACCUACUACCAUACCCCGUUCAAAGGCACAAAAAUAUUUGACCUGGCCCAUUCAAUAAUGAGCAGAUAUUGCACAAUGCAGGUGUGCAAAACUCUUAUGAGACUUUCCCAAGAAGACUCACAGCUGUAAUCGCUGCCAAAGGAGUUUCUAACAUGUAUUGACUCAUGGGGGGUGAAUACUUAUCUAAUCAAGGUGUACUAGUGUUUAUUUUUCAAUAAUCAUAAUUUUUUGGGGCAUUUUACUCCUACAUAGUAUUUUGUGUAGAUUGUUGACAAUUACAAUUAAAUCAAUUUUAAUCCCAC